CAGCAGCCACGGUAAUACGGAGGGAGCUAGCGUUGUUCGGAAUUACUGGGCGUAAAGCGCGCGUAGGCGGUUACUCAAGUCAGAGGUGAAAGCCCGGGGCUCAACCCCGGAACUGCCUUUGAGACUAGGUGACUAGAAUCUUGGAGAGGUCAGUGGAAUUCCGAGUGUAGAGGUGAGAUUCGUAGAUAUUCGGAAGAACACCAGUGGCGAAGGCGACUGACUGGACAAGUAUUGACGCUGAGGUGCGAAAGCGUGGGGAGCAAACAGGAUUAGAUACCCGCGUAGUCCCUGUCUCUUAUAC
rnacentral:rRNA from 1 species